UUGAACGCUGGCGGCAGGCCUCACACAUGCAAGUCGAACGGUAACAGGAAGAAGCUUGCUUCUUGGCUGACGAGUGGCGGACGGGUGAGUAAUGUCUGGGAAACUGCCUGAUGGAGGGGGAUAACUACUGGAAACGGUAGCUAAUACCGCAUAACGUCGCAAGACCAAAGAGGGGGACCUUCGGGCCUCUUGCCAUCGGAUGUGCCCAGAUGGGAUUAGCUAGUAGGUGGGGUAACGGCUCACCUAGGCGACGAUCCCUAGCUGGUCUGAGAGGAUGACCAGCCACACUGGAACUGAGACACGGUCCAGACUCCUACGGGAGGCAGCAGUGGGGAAUAUUGCACAAUGGGCGCAAGCCUGAUGCAGCCAUGCCGCGUGUAUGAAGAAGGCCUUCGGGUUGUAAAGUACUUUCAGCGGGGAGGAAGGGAGUAAAGUUAAUACCUUUGCUCAUUGACGUUACCCGCAGAAGAAGCACCGGCUAACUCCGUG
rnacentral:rRNA from 1 species